rnacentral:rRNA from 1 species
CCUACGGGUGGCAGCAGUGAGGAAUAUUGGUCAAUGGGCGAGAGCCUGAACCAGCCAAGUCGCGUGAAGGAUGACUGCCCUAUGGGUUGUAAACUUCUUUUAUAUGGGAGUAAAAUGAUGUACGUGUGGAUUUUUGUAUGUACCAUACGAAUAAGGAUCGGCUAACUCCGUGCCAGCAGCCGCGGUAAUACGGAGGAUGCGAGCGUUAUCCGGAUUUAUUGGGUUUAAAGGGAGCGUAGGUGGUUUUUUAAGUUAGUUGUGAAAGUUUGCGGCUCAACCGUAAAAUUGCAAUUGAUACUGUAAGUCGUGAGUACAGUCGAGGUAGGCGGAAUACGUGGUGUAGCGGUGAAAUGCUUAGAUAUCACGAAGAACACCGAUUGCGAAGGCAGCUUACUAGACUGCGACUGACGUUGAUGCUCGAAAGCGUGGGUAGCAAACAGGAUUAGAUACCCUAGUAGUC